GACGAACGCUGGCGGCGUGCCUAAUACAUGCAAGUCGAACGAAGCUGUUUUAACUGGUGCUUGCACCGACUUAAACAACUGAGUGGCGAACGGGUGAGUAACACGUGGGUAACCUGCCCCAAAGCGGGGGAUAACAUUUGGAAAAAGAUGCUAAUACAGCAUAGUCACAGAAACCACAUGGUUUCUGUGUCAAAGAUGGUUAUGGCUAUACCUUUGUGUUGGACCCGCGGCGUAUUAGCUAGUUGGUAAGGUGAUGGCUUACCAAGGCAAUGAUACGUAGCCGAACUGAGAGGUUGAUCAGCCACAUUGGGACUGAGACACGGCCCAAACUCCUACGGGAGGCAGCAGUAGGGAAUCUUCCACAAUGGACGAAAGUCUGAUGGAGCAACGCCGCGUGAGUGAAGAAGGUUUUCGGAUCGUAAAACUCUGUUGUCAGAGAAGAACGUGUGCGAGAGUAACUGUUCGUGCAGUGACGGUAUCUGGCCAGAAAGCCACGGCUAACUACGUGCCAGCCGCCGCAGUAA
rnacentral:rRNA from 1 species